GAUGAACGCUGGCGGCGUGCCUAAUACAUGCAAGUCGAGCGAACGGACGAGAAGCUUGCUUCUCUGAUGUUAGCGGCGGACGGGUGAGUAACACGUGGAUAACCUACCUAUAAGACUGGGAUAACUUCGGGAAACCGGAGCUAAUACCGGAUAAUAUUUUGAACCGCAUGGUUCAAAAGUGAAAGACGGUCUUGCUGUCACUUAUAGAUGGAUCCGCGCUGCAUUAGCUAGUUGGUAAGGUAACGGCUUACCAAGGCAACGAUGCAUAGCCGACCUGAGAGGGUGAUCGCCCCCACUGGAACUGAGACACGGUCCAGACUCCUACGGGAGGCAGCAGUAGGUAAUCUUCCGCAAUGGGCGGAAGCCUGACGGAGCAACGCCGCGUGAGUGAUGAAGGUCUUCGUAUCGUAAAACUCUGUUAUUAGGGAAGAACAUAUGUGUAAGUAACUGUGCACUUCUUGACGGUACCUAAUCAGAAAGCCACGGCUAACUACGUG
rnacentral:rRNA from 1 species